AAUGUGAAAAGCAAUUUUUCAAAAUAAACUAACCAUUUACAAAGCAAAUUUAACAUCAUUCGUCCAAAAAAUUAUAAAAAGUCGCUGUUAUGUGGACUUAUCUCGCAGUCUUCGGCUGAAAUGCCACCCAAAAAUGGCGGCGUGAGAAAGGCUAAUUUAUACCUGUAUUGCGACCUAUUUUAAUUAAAAUACUGUAUACCAAAAGUAAAAUGGUCAAAAUACCAAUAUACUUGAAACCUCUUGCUCGGCUAGCUUCAUUGAUACACUAUUUCGUUUUUGGUUUGUUAUUGAAGAGGUUAUGGUGAAUACAGCGAAUAAUGGUGAAAUUGUUGUCAGUAGUGAG